rnacentral:rRNA from 1 species
UACGAAGGGGGCGAGCGUUGUUCGGAAUUACUGGGCUUAAAGCGUGCGUAGGCGGAUAUACAAGUCAGAAGUGAAAUCCCAGGGCUUAACCCUGGAAUUGCUUUUGAAACUGUAUGUCUAGAAUCCGGUAGAGGUUAAUGGAAUAUCCAGUGUAGAGGUGAAAUUCGCAGAUAUUGGAUGGAACACCAGUGGCGAAGGCGAUUAACUGGGCCGGUAUUGACGCUGAGGUACGAAAGCGUGGGGAGCAAACAGG